CCUUCUUUGCUGGCGACCGGCGCACGGGUGAGUAACACGUAUCCAACCUGCCCUUUACUCGGGGAUAGCCUUUCGAAAGGAAGAUUAAUACCCGAUAGUAUAAUGAUUCCGCAUGGUUUCAUUAUUAAAGGAUUCCGGUAAAGGAUGGGGAUGCGUUCCAUUAGGUUGUUGGUGAGGUAACGGCUCACCAAGCCUUCGAUGGAUAGGGGUUCUGAGAGGAAGGUCCCCCACAUUGGAACUGAGACACGGUCCAA
rnacentral:rRNA from 1 species